GACAGAGGGGGCAAGCGUUGCUCGGAAUCACUGGGCGUAAAGGGCGCGUAGGCGGGAUGGCAAGUCGGUCGUGAAAUCCUUCGGCUCAACCGAAGAACGUCGGCCGAUACUGCCGUUCUUGAGGGAUGCAGAGGAGAUUGGAAUUCCCGGUGUAGCGGUGAAAUGUGUAGAGAUCGGGAGGAACACCGGUGGCGAAGGCGGGUCUGCUGGGCAUCUCCUGACGCUGAGGCGCGAAAGCGUGGGGAGCAAACAGG
rnacentral:rRNA from 1 species